GCAGGCCCCCAGAGGGAGGGAGCCAGGUGAGAGCAAAGUGCCCCUCCCGCAGCCUGGCAGAGGGGCUGUCAGGGCGGGCAGCACAGGUGCCAUACCCGGGGCCAUUGUCUCUCUCCCUCCAGCAUGCCUGCUGUGUCAGCGAUCAGAGACUGACCUGGACAUCUGCGGAGAGAAAAUGCAGAAUCUGGGAUUCUGUGGGAUCUGUGCCCACAAGUUCUGCCUGGUGAGUUGCUCUGUGGGCUCCCUCCACUUUUUGACAGGCAGUCCUUGCCACUCUCUCCUCAUCAGUGAGUUUCAUUUUCCUGCAGUUUUUUGCCAGCAACUUUCCUGACCGCCCGGUUCAUCGAGGAGGACUCUGGUGUCUUCCCUCAUGGGAGAUCCGAGCUGUAGUCUCCCUGGCGGCACAGCAGAUCUGCUGCAUCUGUGGCCAGAGAGGGGCCACCAUCUCCUGCUGUAGAAGACACUGUGACCUGAGCUUCCACCUGCCCUGUGCCAAUCAGGGAGGCUGUGUCACCCAGUUCUGCAGACCAUACAGGGCCUUCUGCCCCGCACACAGCCCACAGCAGGCAGUGGAGGCUGCAGCAGCGCCGGCCCCGGGCCGG
rnacentral:lncRNA from 1 species